AGAGGGAUAGCUGGGUCAAAUGGUGGUUCUAUUCUCAGAUUUUCAAGGAAUCUCCAUACUGCUUUCCAUAUUGGUUGCACCAAUUUGCAGUCCCAUCAGCAAU
rnacentral:pre_miRNA from 1 species